rnacentral:rRNA from 1 species
UACGUAGGGGGCAAGCGUUGUCCGGAAUCAUUGGGCGUAAAGCGCGCGUAGGCGGCCCGGUAAGUCCGCUGUGAAAGUCACAGGCUCAACCUUUGAAUGUCAGCGGAUACUGCCGGGCUAGAGUCCGGAAGAGGCGAGUGGAACUCCUGGUGUAGCGGUGGAAUGCGCAGAUAUCAGGAAGAACACCAACGGCGAAGGCAGCUCGCUGGGACGGAACUGACGCUAAGGCGCGAAAGCGUGGGGAGCGAACAGG